UACGUAGGGUGCAAGCGUCGUCCGGAAUUAUUGGGCGUAAAGGGCUCGUAGGCGGUUUGUCGCGUCUGCUGUGAAAACCCGGGGCUCAACCCCGGGCGUGCAUUCGAUACUGCGCGGCUCGAGACAGGUAGGGGAGAUCGGAAUUCCUGGUGUAGCGGUGAAAUGCGCAGAUAUCAGGAGGAACACCGGUGGCGAAGGCGGAUCUCUGGGCCUGUUCUGACGCUGAGGCGCGAAAGCUAGGGGAGCGAACAGG
rnacentral:rRNA from 1 species